AGCGAACGCUGGCGGCAGGCUUAACACAUGCAAGUCGAGCGGGCACUUCGGUGUCAGCGGCAGACGGGUGAGUAAAACGUGGGAACGUACCCUUCGGUUCGGAAUAACGCUGGGAAACUAGCGCUAAUACCGGAUACGCCCUUUUGGGGAAAGGUUUACUGCCGCAGGAUCGGCCCGCGUCUGAUUAGCUAGUUGGUGGGGUAAUGGCCUACCAAGGCGACGAUCAGUAGCUGGUCUGAGAGGAUGAUCAGCCACACUGGGACUGAGACACGGCCCAGACUCCUACGGGAGGCAGCAGUGGGGAAUAUUGGACAAUGGGCGCAAGCCUGAUCCAGCCAUGCCGCGUGAGUGAUGAAGGCCUUAGGGUUGUAAAGCUCUUUUGUCCGGGACGAUAAUGACGGUACCGGAAGAAUAAGCCCCGGCUAACUUCGUG
rnacentral:rRNA from 1 species